rnacentral:rRNA from 1 species
GACGAACGCUGGCGGCGUGCUUAGCACAUGCAAGUCGAACGAUGAACCGGUUUCGGCCGGGGAUUAGUGGCGAACGGGUGAGUAACACGUGGGCAGUCUGCCCUGCACUCUGGGAUAAGCCCGGGAAACUGGGUCUAAUACCGGAUACGACACUCCGAGGCAUCUUGGGGUGUGGAAAGUUCCGGCGGUGCAGGAUGAGCCCGCGGCCUAUCAGCUUGUUGGUGGGGUAAUGGCCUACCAAGGCGACGACGGGUAGCCGGCCUGAGAGGGUGACCGGCCACACUGGGACUGAGACACGGCCCAGACUCCUACGGGAGGCAGCAGUGGGGAAUAUUGCACAAUGGGCGAAAGCCUGAUGCAGCGACGCCGCGUGAGGGAUGACGGCCUUCGGGUUGUAAACCUCUUUCAGCAGGGAAGAAGCGAAAGUGACGGUACCUGCAGAAGAAGCACCGGCUAACUACGUG